GUGUCAGCCGCCGCGGUAAUACGUAGGGUGCGAGCGUUAAUCGGAAUUACUGGGCGUAAAGCGUGCGCAGGCGGCCGCAUAAGACAGGUGUGAAAUCCCCGGGCUUAACCUGGGAAUGGCGCUUGUGACUGUGUGGCUAGAGUUCGGCAGAGGGGGGUGGAAUUCCACGUGUAGCAGUGAAAUGCGUAGAGAUGUGGAGGAACACCGAUGGCGAAGGCAGCCCCCUGGGUCGCGACUGACGCUCAAGCACGAAAGCGUGGGGAGCAAACAGGAUUAGAAACCCCAGUAGUCC
rnacentral:rRNA from 1 species